CUAACUCCUAUGUGGGUAUAAGACGACACAUGAAGACAUUUCUAAACCUUUUGAAAAACAAAUGGUAAAAUUGUGUCCUGCCUCUUCAGUAACAAAAACAUUUAGGUUUUAUGUUUCAGAUUUGCCCUGUGAGCUAACAUUUAGGUCAGCUAGUUGGUUGACUUGACCAUUCCAGCAUGGAGUUGAUUUUUUAAAAAAAUCCUGAAAUAAACUGGUGAGAUAACGUCAUAUGAAAUCACUCACAUGAUUCUUUUCCAUCUAACCAGAGGUAGUUUCUGGUUUGGACUUUGGUUUGGUUUUUGAUCCAUAAUAAACUCAAAAGGUUUGUGCUUCCAAUCUAAUAAAAUGCUUGAUUAGAAGUAAAGUUGACUGUCCAGAUGUUUUAUAUCACCUAUAACAAAGUUUAAGUAGGUCAGUACAUUGCUAGGAUCUGUUGUCACAACUAGUUAUUUCAGACUAAGUUCUGUUCAGUUAAACAUCACUUUUAUGUGAUGUUUAGCAAUGUUGCUCUGAAAGUUGUGCUUAACUUUUGCUUUUCAAAGGACUGCCACAGAAAAUCAUUAAGUAAGUUGAUGAAAUAACAGAUUUGUAUGUUAUGGUAUUUCUUUUUUUUUCUUUUUUUUUUCAAAAAUAAAUGAAAUAGUAAAAUAGAUGUUUUCAGAGUGAAUUGUCUGGUUCCAAGUCAAAGGGUUAAAGUGCUGUGUAACUUUCACUGUGACUCACACAAGUUACUAUAAUUUAAAAAAUAAAAAUUGAAAGGUUAACAAAUCUACAAGUUAAAUUUAAUCAGUGUAACAUCAUAGCAAAUAUGAGGAGAUGUUGUCAGAAACAAGUUCAGCAAUGAUAUUAAAGCCUAAUUUCCAAGUGGAAAAUAAUUUAAACAGAACUAUGAAUAUUUUCUUUUUGAAAGUAUUCAUAACUUUAAAUGUUUUUUUAAAAAUAAUGUUUUUAAAUUUCUUUAAUAACUCCUUCGUUUAAAAGAUCUUUCAGAAAAGAUGUUCACCUUCCCGCAAGAAACCAACACAGCACAUGUUAGGUUGACAUCAAGUCAAAAUUUACAGGCUGUAACUGUCUGUUUGAGGUUCUUUACAGACCUCAAAAGAGAUUAUUCUCUUUUCUCGUUGGCUCUACCCUCUUUUGAUAACGACUUUUUGUUAUUAAAAUCGGCCAACUUAGAUUCUUUUCAAAUGUAUGUAAGGAACACGGCCGCAAAUUUUGAAGGACUGGACUUCAAGCUGAACAAGUGGCAAUCAGUUUGUGCAACAUGGGAUGCUGCAUCAGGUUUGGCCCAACUGUGGGUGGAUGGAAAGCCUUCAAGCAGGAAAUUUACCAGCUCUGGAUCCAAUAUCAAUGGACCAAUUAUUAUUGCUUUGGGACAG